rnacentral:rRNA from 1 species
UGGGGAAUUUUGGACAAUGGGCGAAAGCCUGAUCCAGCAAUGCCGCGUGUGUGAAGAAGGUUUUCGGAUCGUAAAACUCUGUCUUUUGGGGCGAACGUGAGUAUGGUGAACAAUCAUAGUCAGUGACGGUACCAAAGGAGGAAGCCACGGCUAACUACGUGCCAGCAGCCGCGGUAAUACGUAGGUGGCAAGCGUUGUCCGGAAUUAUUGGGCGUAAAGAGCGCGUAGGCGGGAUAGUCAGUCUGUUGUAAAAGUGCGGGGCUCAACCCCGUGAUGGCAAUGGAAACAGCUAUUCUUGAGUGCAGGAGAGGAAAGUGGAAUUCCCAGUGUAGCGGUGAAAUGCGUAGAUAUUGGGAGGAACACCAGUGGCGAAGGCGACUUUCUGGACUGUGUCUGACGCUGAGGCGCGAAAGCCAGGGGAGCGAACGGGAUUUAGAUACCCCCGGUAGUCCUGGCCGUAAACGAUGGGUACUAGGUGUGGGAGGUAUCGACCCCCUUUCCGUGCCCGGAGUUAANGCAAAUAAGUACCCCCGCCUGGGGAGUACGGUCGCAAGACUGAAACUUAAAUGAAUUGAC